ACGCUAGCUAUAGGCUUAACACAUGCAAGUCGAGGGGAAACGGCAUUAUGUGCUUGCACAUUUUGGACGUCGACCGGCGCACGGGUGAGUAUCGCGUAUCCAACCUGCCCUUUACUUGGGGAUACCCCGUUGAAAGACGGCCUAAUACCCGAUGUAAUUCAUUGAUGGCAUCAGAUAUGAAUAAAAGAUUUAUCGGUAAAGGAUGGGGAUGCGUCUGAUUAGCUUGUUGGUGAGGUAACGGCUCACCAAGGCGACGAUCAGUAGGGGUUCUGAGAGGAAGGUCCCCCACAUUGGAACUGAGACACGGUCCAAACUCCUACGGGAGGCAGCAGUGAGGAAUAUUGGUCAAUGGGCGCAAGCCUGAACCAGCCAAGUAGCGUGCAGGAAGACGGCCCUAUGGGUUGUAAACUGCUUUUAUACGAGAAUAAUUUGAUGCACGUGUGCGUUAUUGCAUGUAUCGUAUGAAUAAGGACCGGCUAAUUCCGUGCCAGCAGCCGCGGUAAUACGGAAGGUCCAGGCGUUAUCCGGAUUUAUUGGGUUUAAAGGGAGUGUAGGCGGUUUGUUAAGCGUGUUGUGAAAUUUAGGUGCUCAACAUUUAACUUGCAGCGCGAACUGUCAGACUUGAGUACACGCAACGUAUGCGGAAUUCAUGGUGUAGCGGUGAAAUGCUUAGAUAUCAUGAAGAACUCCGAUUGCGAAGGCAGCAUACGGGAGUGUAACUGACGCUUAAGCUCGAAGGUGCGGGUAUCGAACAGGAUUAGAUACCCUGGUAGUCCGCACAGUAAACGAUGGAUGCCCGCUGUUAGCGCCUGGCGUUAGCGGCUAAGCGAAAGCAUUAAGCAUCCCACCUGGGGAGUACGCCGGCAACGGUGAAACUCAAAGGAAUUGACGGGGGCCCGCACAAGCGGA
rnacentral:rRNA from 1 species